rnacentral:rRNA from 1 species
AAGCGACCCCAGGUCAGGCGGGACCACCCGCUGAGUUUAAGCAUAUCAAUAAGCGGA